ensembl:lncRNA
GUUUAGGUGGAGUUUUUUUUUUAGAAAAGUUAAUUGAGUCCAAUAAUAGAUUAAAUGCUGCUAUGAGGAUGUUACUUUCAGCAUCUAUAUGGGUUAAAAUCAUCUUCAAUUAUUAUUUUAUCUGAAAUCAGAAAUCAGAUGGAUUUUGAGUUUUCCAAUUAGGGUGGACAAGACUAAGAGUUAGUCUUUCAAAUCAAUUAAAACUCUGUUUGAGUCUAUGGUUGAUUAAUUGUUGAGGUUGUGGGUCUUCAUCCUCAUCAUUGAAAGAGUGUCCACGUUACAUCCAAGAUGAACAGAAUCAAUUUUUUGGGAUUUCCUUACCUGGAUGAUUGAGCGUGCAUCAAGACCUUUGAGCUCAGAGGUUGUAGUAAUUGCUCAAUUUUUUUUCUGGAGUAUCAGUUUUUCCUUGUCUUCCCUCCACUAUCUCCACCAUUUCUGUCUCCUGUCAUGUCCCAAUAUCGGUCUGGUGUCUGUGUGUCCUGUUGGUGUUGCUGUUAGUGUCGCUAUCUGGUUUCCCUGUUAUUUGUGUCAAAUUUAUAUCUAUUAGUUACUUUCUGUUUUAUUUUAAUAGUCCCAUAUCUCGUGUGCGUUACUCCUCCGCCUGUGCUUCAAGGAUUCUGGUAAUUUGCAUGACUUGGGGGUGUUGACUUAUUGAUUUAUUCUAUGAAGAAUAAAUUGAUUUAUUCUAUUUAUUCUAAUAAUUGAUUUAUUCUAUGAAGCAGAAUAAAUCAUUUAGCCGAAUAAUAAAUAAUGGAUUAACAGGGACUUAGAGGAGAGAGACCUCAUUUUUAAUAAUACACAUUUAGUUAUUUUAUUCUUUGGGAAACCUGAGGAUGCUAUAUUGUAUAUUUACAUUGUGUUUUUGUGAUUUGUAUUUUCUUGAAUAUUUUUUGAUAUGUUUAAAUUGUUUUUUUGCUUAUUUUUGGUUUGUUUUUUUGGUGGUCUGGGAGCAGAGGGAUAACAGGAAGAGAAAAGCUGAAGAGAGGCAUCUCUGGUUCAUCCAGGAAACAGAAGAAUGACUUGUCUUUGUUACCAGACUGAUUCCAAUGCAAUAACUGUAUGUACCAGUGAAACCUUUCAGUAAAUAUUCAUGUAUGUUUUUUUUUUGUCCUUAAACACCUCAUGAUCGUCUAUUUAUACAACACUGAAGUUCAAACUAGCCUGUUUAACUUUUACAGUAGUGUGUAGAUCCUGCCUGUAUAUUGGCUAUCCUGUCGUUAAGUCUGACGUCACUAGCCGUGUCUGGGCCUAAACUACGCUGCAGGUCCAUAUAUCAAACAAUCACUAUUGCAUUACUGAGAGUUGAAAAACUGUCUAAAGUCUUUCAUCUUUAAUAAAAUGAUCAGUGUUCUGCUCUACCAGGUGUAACAAUUGAGUUUAACAUCCAGGCAUCCAUGAAAACGGAGUUUAUGACAUUUAACGGAGUUAGAAGUUAGCAGGAAGUUAGCUCGCUAGCUUCUAUCUAAAUACAAUAUAGCAUGUCCUGACUGCGGGGUUUUGGAAACAAUAUUAAAACGUACAGCUCUGUUAUCACUUCCAACAUAAAUGAAGACAGAAAACUAAACAGCAGUGACGUUUGUAGGGUUACUGAAGUUUGGCUAGCUGGUAUAUAAUGAUGUGCUACGUGAGCGAAAACAGCUAUGUUAGCAUAAUAUAAACAAGCUAAC